rnacentral:rRNA from 1 species
AUUGAACGCUGGCGGCAGGCCUAACACAUGCAAGUCGAGCGGAUGAAGGGAGCUUGCUCCUGAAUUCAGCGGCGGACGGGUGAGUAAUGCCUAGGAAUCUGCCUGGUAGUGGGGGAUAACGUCCGGAAACGGGCGCUAAUACCGCAUACGUCCUGAGGGAGAAAGUGGGGGAUCUUCGGACCUCACGCUAUCAGAUGAGCCUAGGUCGGAUUAGCUAGUUGGUGGGGUAAAGGCCUAACAAGGCGACGAUCCGUAACUGGUCUGAGAGGAUGAUCAGUCACACUGGAACUGAGACACGGUCCAGACUCCUGCGGGGGGCAGCAGUGGGGAAUAUUGGACAAUGGGCGAAAGCCUGAUCCAGCCAUGCCGCGUGUGUGAAGAAGGUCUUCGGAUUGUAAAGCACUUUAAGUUGGGAGGAAGGGCAGUAAGUUAAUACCUUGCUGUUUUGACGUUACCAACAGAAUAAGCACCGGCUAACUUCGUG